CUGUUUAUUAGUGGCCCCAGGUUAUGCCUGUACACCUAGUAUAUAGGAAUCUACUGAACUCACACUUUAAAUUGUAGCUGAAUCUCACGUCACUGUCACUGUGUGUCCAUACAACCCCUUUCUGGCCUCUUCACAGGGCUAAUCAACAGUAUGAAAUGUAACCCCGCCACCCCCGACCCCAACCUGAAAUCAGAGAUGUUGUUGUGUCUUGCAUGUCAGCCUGAGAUUUGCAGUCACCCAUGGAUGGUGUACUGGCAAGGUGCUUAUGUGAGAUUGUGAGAUUUCUUUCUUUCCCUUGUUUGUUGGAAAUGAGAUAUGCCUCACUCACUAUUCCAGGACCUUGGUGGCCUGUAUUUCUUUUUACUUUUUGGACAGUUUCUGAGCACUAACAUCUCCUCUGUUUCGGGCUGUCUCGUGGUCCAUUUCCUAAGGCUCACUUGGUCGCACACCCAGCCUUGGCUCUGCUGGGUGAGGGGUGGGUGGGCUCCUGCUUGGACUGCCCGAGGGAUGGACAGGCAUGGUCCUCCAAAGGUGGAGGUGUUGGGGGCUGGGCACUGCUUUUUUGAAGACUCUUUUUGGCCUCCAAGGCUUGUCAGAACCUCACUGGAGGGGGCGAGAUUUCAAUUUCAGCAUGAACUGGGGUUUUUGGGCCAGGGAAUGAGAUGAGAAAAGAGAAGAAACAAUUCCACAUGGGAAGAACCAGUUAUGAAAGUGGCUGAAAAUGGAACUUUACAGAAACCCAGUGGUAACUGGGUUCUCUAUGUCUUGCUAGGGUAAGUUCUGGAGGGUGGGGUCCAAGUUGCCUUACUCUAAAUCAGGGGUCAGCACACAAGAGCUAGAGAGUAAGUAUUUUAGGUUUUGUGAGCCAGACAAGUCUGUUGUAACCACUCAACCCAAAGCAGCAUAGACUGUGUAAGUGGACGGGUGUUUACCAAUAAAAUGCUAUUUUCAGCAACAGGCACCAGUUAGGAUUUGGCCUGGGAGCUCUAGUUUGCUGUCAUGCUCUGUGAGGAGCAGUGUCAUCACAGAGAUCUUGGGCUCAAGUGGUAUUAGGGCUGAACUCUGUCAAGGAGUAUGACCCUCUGUGAGUCAGGAGGGGAGUAGAGAAUGAAGGGAAAAUGUCUAAGAACAGUAGGACUAAGGGAGGACAGGGAGUAAGGCUCUUUGAGGACCCUAUUCACCAGUAAUGGAUCAAAGAAUGAAAUCUAGGCAUCUUCUGUAAGUAGGCAAUUACCACAGGCAGAAGUCCUUGUAAAUGUAGAGCAAAUACUGACACAAUUGUAAGGUGUUACUGCUAUAGGCAACACCAGUAGGCAGCAGAGGAACCCUGGUAUCUCGGUUGCCUGUUAUUUCCGUGUUUGGAAACUGUGUUUUUGGUCCACCAGGUGUCAGUAUAGUGCAGAGUAUUUUCAAGAACUGGGCUCAAGGAGCCUGUCAGACACCCAGCAAUAGAUAAACCUCUGAGUGUUUUCAGGGAGCAGAUGUUCCCUCAAUAAUGCAUGCUCUAUUUGAAAAACAAGUGAUUUAAUUUAAUUAGCCUUCAUCUCAGUAACAACAGUUUUAUAAUUCAUGCCAACAGACUGUUGUUAGCUUCUUGUAAGAUGGUUUAUUUCUCAGGGUUCUUAAGAGACAGUAGAGUGUCACAAACAAAAAACAAACAAGCACAGAACUCAAACAAAAUGCAAUAUUUGUCCUUAUAAAUCAUAUUGGAAGAAUUAUGCAUCUAUAAAUUAUGAAAAAUCAUGCAUUUAUAAAUUAUGAAACUAAUCUUCAAACCAUAUCUGGUGGCAAAUAGUCCUUCCCCUCUAGGAGUUGCAGUGAAAGCCCUCCCUCCCCACACAGACACACUCUGUCACUGGCUCUGCAGCUCCCCAGAGGCCUUCACACCACAGACUCUAGGCUCUGCCUGGACCACCUACGGAUUCAGUUCCAUCCUGCCUUCUUUGUUAGUACACAGGACAACGAAAGAAGAAAUCAGCACGGGAGGCCUGGAUGGUGCCACCUUGUGAAUUAAAGGUGGAGAAAAGCUCUGGAGAAUGGAAUGUCCAAGAUCAAGGCACCAGCGUGGCUGAGCUCCUGUGAGGGCCUCACUGGUUUAUGGACCACUUCUUGCUUGCUGUAUACCCACACGGUGGAGAGACAGAGAGAAGCUAGCUGUUCUCAUAUGAGAAGUCUCUUCUCAUAAGGACAUUAAUCCCAUCAGGAAGACUCCAACCUCACGACCUCCAAAGGCCCCGCUCCAGAUACCAUCACACUGGGGGUUAGGGUUUCAAUAUAUGAAUUUUGGGAGGACACAAACAUGUGGCCUGUAGCACAGGGUGUGUCAGUAUAACCUCUGGAAGGUGAUUUUGUAACCAGUUACAAACUUUAAUGCAUAUAUCUUUGAACAGCAGUUCUGUUUCAUAGAAUUUAUUCUGAAUAUUACAAAAACAUGAAUGUGAGAGCGGAUAUAUUCAGGACAGCUAUUACAGCAUUAGCAUAGUAAAAACUGGAUUAACUACGUGUCCAGCAAUAACCUGCUAUUCGGUUAUUGUUAAGUUGGGGAUAAUUGUUUGACAUGGAAAGAUGUUAAGUUAAUCAGGCUAUAAAAACAGUGUGUAUAGUAGGAUCCUGUUUUUGUUGAAGUGCUCAUAGGUGUGCACAUGGGCACUGUCCGAAAGGAGAUGCAGCUAAGUCUUAACAGUGGUUAUCUUUGGGUAGUGGGAUUGUAAUUAUAGUAUUUUUCUUGAUUACCUAUACUUUCAAAAACUUGUAGCAUGGAUAGGUAAAGAGAUAAAUUGUGUUGUAAUCUAUAACCAUGAAAACAGAAAACUAACUGCAUUAAAAAAAACCAUGUUUUUCAUCCAUAGACAUGAACUUAGAACUUGGAAUAGAGGCAGGUAUUUUGUGACUUACAAAAAGAUGGAUCUUUUAAAUACCUCAAGUAGUCUGUAGCCAAGUAGUACAUACGUACUCUCCAGAAAGAUACCAGUUCGUAUCUCAUAGCAGUGUGUGAAGGCAUUGAUUUCAUGACCCUCUAUAUUAGAUACUAAAUUUUAAAACUCACUAGUUUCUUGGGCAAAACCUAGUAUAUCAUUGUUUUAAUUUAAAGUUCUUUUAUUAUUAGGGAGAUUGAAUAACUUUCCCUGUGUUUAUUGGCCAUGUGUAUUCAUUACUGGCCAAAUACACCAUAAAGAAAAUCGAGAGAUGAUUAACAAACUAGGAAAAAAUACUGGCAACAUAUAAAACAGGCUGGAGUCUAAUACUGUUAUUGUAUAAUGAGUGUUUAUAAAUCGCUAAGAAAAGAAAUCAACUACCAAAAAGAAAAACAGUUAGUGGAUACCUUUAAGUGAUGGAUCUAACAAUUCAGAUUGUCAGCUGACUGAUCUGAAUUGGGGAAUACAAUUACAAAUUUAAUAAACAUUUAAUCAACAUUCUUAUCCCCACUAUAUAAAUGAAAAAUCCGAGUUCUCAUUGCAGACUAGCUCUGGAAUUGAGCUAUGGAUCCAGGCUUACCUGACCACAAAGGCAUUCUUGCCACUGUGCAAAACCCCUGCUCUGUACUUGGGUACCUUCCUGCCCCUCCCAUGACUUAGGUGACCCCUAGGUGACCCCAGGCUUAGAUGACCUGACCUAGGAGAAAGGGCACAGACCAGGGAAAUGUGGGAGGUUUGGCCAUCCCUUAGAGCCAACUGCUGGAACAUUCCUUGGGAGUGAAGAAAGCUAAUUACAAUUUGCCAAGAUUUGAGUAACCAUGUAAAUAUUAUAAGAUUAUGCUUACCAGUGCCCAGAGCCAGGUAUGAAUUCCAUCACUUAUUGCUCUAUCAGCCUAGAAAAUAAUUCUCGGUUUUAGCAGCACUAACUAGAAUUUUAAAAUUAUAGUUUUGUUUCUUCCUGAAGAAAUUAUUUUGUAAAAACCAGUUGAAGAGAUGGCAAACAUAAAGAGGCACCACUCCAUAGCUCAAGUUUCACCUUGUCUCCACCCUACCUGGAAAAGUAUAGAAGACUCAGUUGCCACACAUUUUAUCUGCCCCAGGUUACUGUCGAAAGCUCUGACCCCUCCAUGUUGAGAUAGCAGGUUAACAGUUGUGGAAACCUUGUAAGCCAGAGAUCCAAAUGCAAGUUCCCGAAGCAGCAAGUGUAUAAACAAUUCUUCAGGCCAUGGAAGUGCAGCUGCUAACUGACUGACUGUUCUCCUUGCAGCUCUUUCGUGGAGAGAGACCUGUGUGUGGACUCCCAGGACUACCAGGCUGACUUCUGCCCUUCUGUCCUGCUAGCUUGUAGAUUUCAUGAGUGCAGUGUUGCCUAGAAUUUGAGAAUAAAUAUUUAAUGAGGAAUAAAUUUGUGACAAAGUCUUUGGGGACCGUAAGAGACUCAUUACUGUGAAUAAUGGACCAAAGGAGGAAAUUAUGUUGAAGAAAAUGUAUUUGACUUGUAUGCUUAAAACUGAGGAAUAAGAGGAUACAAGAGAACCCAAUGUAAGACAUAUUUAAUAGUCAUUUUGCUCAUUGGAGAACCUUUUGGUGAGAAGAGGAAACCUAUUCUCUGACCCCAGGUCCUUACAUCCAUAUCCCUACCUGACAUCUCUGCUUGAAUGUUCCAGAAACUUCUCAAGACUUAGUUGAGGAUUUUCCCAGUCAAACCUCUUCCAGUUUGUUGCAUCUAAGUGCACCACCGUCCAUCACACUCUUUAAACUGGAAACCUGGGAGUUAUUGUUGGUGUCUUCUAUGCUCAUCCCUCAGUGGAAAUCAACACCAAGUCCUACUGAUUUCUCAAAUCGGUCCAUUCUUUCCAUCUCCAUCAUCUCUUGUCUGGGCCACUGCAGUGCCCCCCAGAUCUCCUGCCUGCACAUGCCAAAUGCCAUUCUAGUCUGUUCCCCAUACUGUAGCCAGAGCAGUCUUUUCAAAAUGCGAAUAAAAUCUUGUUACAUCUA